rnacentral:rRNA from 1 species
AACGCGAAGAACCUUACCUACCCUUGACAUCCUGUGAAGCCUGAUGAGAGUUGGGCAUGCCGAAAGGAGCACAGAGACAGGUGCUGCAUGGCUGUCGUCAGCUCGUGUUGUGAGAUGUUGGGUUAAGUCCCGUAACGAGCGCAACCCUUGUCCUUAGUUGCCAUCAUUCAGUUGGGGACUCUAAGGAGACUGCCGGUGAGGAACCGGAGGAAGGCGGGGACGACGUCAAGUCAUCAUGGCCUUUAUGGGUAGGGCUACACACGUGCUACAAUGGGGCGUACAGAGGGAAGCCAACUCGCGAGAGGGAGCGGAUCUCAAAAAGCGCCUCGUAGUCCGGAUUGGAGUCUGCAACUCAACUCCAUGAAGUUGGAAUCGCUAGUAAUCGCGAAUCAGCAUUGUCGCGGUGAAUACGUUCCCGGGCCUUGUAUACACCGACUGUAC